AUGGCAGGAUCUAAAUCGAGUGUUCAUGAAGAAAACCAUGAGGAAGAAGAUGCCCCGGUCACACGGGCUGAUUUUCAGGAAUUACGGAAUAGGUUCGAGACCUUGGAAGGAUGUUUCACGAGCGACCUCCAACAGGUGGCGAUAGGGUUCGACACCAACAACACCCUAUUGACCCACUUGAGGAAGUUGGCGGUGAGAAUUCCGUGCAUGCUGCUGUUGAUGGUGCCUUGGAUGAUGAUAACAAUAACUAUGGUGGGCAUGAGGCUGCUGCCCGUGGGCUUGGUGCUGCUGCUCAUGGAGGGCAGCGAGGAGGACAACUUCGAGGGCAAGGCCAUGGUCCUCGUGGGCACUACUAUGACCCUCAUGAGCGUGUUGCUCGUGGUCAUGGAGAUGAUUUUGAUGAUUAUGAUGGUGUCCCAUACCGUCGUGCUGCUGAAGAUGGGCGUCGUGCAGAACGCCAUGAUCGAGAUGGUCGAGAUGACAUAG
rnacentral:rRNA from 1 species